rnacentral:rRNA from 1 species
AGCUCCAAUAGCGUAUAUUAAAGUUGUUGCGGUUAAAAAGCUCGUAGUUGGAUCUCAACAGACUUGGAUCGGUUUACUUUGUGUAAUACUGAUCCAAAGCUGUGCUUUUGUCGGAGGUUUAGGGGUGCUCUUAACCUAGUGUCUCUGAGUGCCGACAGGUUUACUUUGAAAAAAUUAGGGUGCUUAAAGCGGGCUGUUAUGCUCGAAUAUUUGUGCAUGGAAUAAUAGAAUAGGAUGUUGAUCUUAUUUUGUUGGUUUUCGAGACUUGACAUAAUGAUUAAUAGGGACAGUCGGGGGCAUUUGUAUUCAAACGACAGAGGUGAAAUUCUUGGACCGUUUGAAGACAAACUACUGCGAAAGCAUUUGCCAAGAAUGUUUUCA